UACGGAGGGUGCGAGCGUUGUCCGGAAUCACUGGGCGUAAAGGGCGCGUAGGCGGCGCGGGGAGUCAACGGUGAAAGCUCGGCGCUCAACGCCGAGUCGGCCGUCGAUACUCCCGUGCUCGAGCACUGUAGAGGCAGGUGGAAUUCCGGGCGUAGCGGUGGAAUGGCGUAGAGAUCCGGAAGAACACCGGUGGCGAAGGCGGUCUGCUGGGCAGUUGC
rnacentral:rRNA from 1 species